rnacentral:lncRNA from 1 species
AUGGCGGCUCUUACAAGUUAAUUGGGUUCAUUACAGCAGGAAAGGAAUCCGAAAGAGAGAUUGGGACAAAAAUACCUCCACCAAAAUGUUAUAGUGCAUUUAAAUUGGAAGGAGGAGCUCUUGCCUGUUCCCCAGACACUGAGGAGAAAGGAGACAGACAGUUGAGAAUUUCCUGGGCUCAUCCAUUUCUUUCCUUUUCACUCCACAUCUGUGGAAGGGACUAGCUACUGCAUCUUAACAUCUCAUUUGAAAGGAGAAAGAACUGUCGUUUAGAAUUGUGGUUGAUUCCAGCAACACUGACACAACCUUACUGUAUAUAAUAUAUAAUGAACAUAAUGAAUGGAAUCUCUGAAGACUCCCCCAAACAAGAUGCCUCAUUAAUAAUUGAAAUUUUGAAAUAAGAAAAUUAUGCCUGCACUGGGGCCACAACUUCCUCUUUUCUGUUUAUCUUCUCCGCAAAAACAUCAGUCUACUUGUCCCACAAGCAUUUGCAUCAUGAAAGUUGCUCUUUAAACAUAAUUCAAGUCCUGAAGAAUACUGGGAAGAACAGCCUCUGAAAUUCACAUCUGGGACAAGCUGGAGAAAAAAUUCAUAAAGAAGAAAAUCCUGGUAACUUCCCAAUGUUCUACUUUUCCUGUCUCUGGCUUCCUUUUUUCGUUCCACCAAUGUUGUCAGCUUUUAAUUCUUUGGGGAGAAGAAUAAAAGAGAUGGGAAAAGGCCACAGAACGAUACUAAAAGAUGCC